GACGAACGCUGGCGGCGUGCUUAACACAUGCAAGUCGAACGGAAAGGCCCUGCUUUUGUGGGGUGCUCGAGUGGCGCACGGGUGAGUAACACGUGAGUAACCUGCCCUUGUCUUUGUGAUAACUUCAGGAAACUGGGGCUCAUACCGGGUAGGAGCUCCUGCUGCAUGGUGGUGGUUGGAAAGUUUCGGCCGUGCGGGAUGGACUCGCGGCUUAUCCGCUUGUUGGUGGGGUAGUGGAUUACCAAGGCUUUGACGGGUAGCCGGCCUGGGAGGGUUGCCGGCCACAAUGGGCCUGAGAUACGGCCCAGACGCCUACGGGAGGCAGCAGUGGGGAAUAUUGCACAAUGGGCGGAAGCCUGAUGCAGCAACGCCGCGUGCGGGAUGACGGCCUUCGGGGUGUAAACCGCUUUCGCCUGUGACGAAGCGUGAGUGACGGUAAUGGGUAAAGAAGCACCGGCUAACUACGUG
rnacentral:rRNA from 1 species